AACGAACGCUGGCGGCGUGCCUAACACAUGCAAGUCGUGCGGGAAAGUUCCCUUCGGGGAGCGAGUAUAGCGGCGCACGGGUGAGUAAUACGUAGGUAACCUGCCCUCAAGUUCGGGACAACCUGUCGAAAGACGGGCUAAUACCGGAUGAGACCACGAGAGCUGCGGCUCUUGGGGUCAAAGGUGGCCUCUGCUUGCAAGCUAUCGCUUGAGGAUGGGCCUGCGCGCCAUUAGCUAGUUGGUGGGGAACGGCCGUACCAAGGCAGAGAUGGCUAGCUGGUCUGAGAGGAUGACCAGCCACACUGGGACUGAGACACGGCCCAGACUCCUACGGGAGGCAGCA
rnacentral:rRNA from 1 species